rnacentral:rRNA from 1 species
UACGGGGGGGGUAAGCGUUGUUCGGAAUUAUUGGGCGUAAAGAGCUCGUAGGCGGUCUGUCACGUCGGCUGUGAAAACCCGAGGCUCAACCUCGGGCCGGCAGUCGAUACGGGCAGACUAGAGUUCGGUAGGGGAGACUGGAAUUCCUGGUGUAGCGGUGAAAUGCGCAGAUAUCAGGAGGAACACCGAUGGCGAAGGCAGCUCGCUGGGACGGUACUGACGCUGAGACGCGAAAGCGUGGGGAGCAAACAGG